AACCUUAUGGACCUGCGGGCGUAUACCUGCGGAAGGAUCAUUAAUAAAUGUUACUUCGGUAACUUAAUUAAUCCCUAACACCUGUGCAUCUUGUCGCUUCGGCGUCAUUUUAUAAACAUCAGUGUAAUGAAUGUAAAGUAUUAUAACAAAUACAACUUUUAACAACGGAUCU
rnacentral:misc_RNA from 1 species